UGCUUUAUAUUUUGCUAGGUUCGCACGC
rnacentral:sRNA from 1 species